CACUCCGCGUCCGCAACCUCUCUUUCAUGAUUAGCGCCCACCUCUCCACUCAAUCCCUUCCCCGGUAGGAACUUCCCCGGUAGGAAGUAGAGUAGGAACCCUCCCGCCGCUACUAGGGAUAUGCAAGCCACCGUCGGGGUCCUCGCGGACACACGAGAUGCCUGCCGUCACCACGCACACGAGCCACGGUGGGGGAGAGAGGGAGAAGUGACCAGCCAUGGCAAGGCGUCGGUCAUCCGGCGAGCGUGGAGAAAUUGGGACAGGGGGCGCCCGAUGUGGCGUCUGGUGGCGGGGCUAAGAAGGGGGCGGCAGAUCUGGCCGGAGCUGUGCACGUGGUGCGGCGAUUGUGGUCCCCGCGUGCUGCUCGUGGUAGGGACAAAGCGGCGGUCGCUGGCCUUAUCCGCUGCCCCUUUGAGGACUGCGUCGUGCAUGCCCCACCGAGUUCUACCAGGUCGCCGGCGGCACGCGCUCCCCUCACCCUGCCUGAUGCAAUCGGUGACUACCCUACCCGGUCGCCGGCAGACUAGACGGCCUGGGCGCGGGCGGUAGGCACCGCCAGCAGCCCAGCACUCCAAUCUCCGCCGACACCGUGGUCUAAAUGACGCCGCAGACGAGUCCCCUUAGAACGACCCAUCCUGGACGAUAUAAUAUGGUUCAAGCAUAAUCAUGGUGAUAUGAUUAUAUGGAGUAGAAGGGAGGAAGUUGUGUCUCAUCAGCAUUGUGUUCUGCAUCUAUAUAAAGCACAUCCAAGAAUCACUGUCCAAGGUCUCUCUUUCGAUUGAUAGCAUCGGUAGCAGGAUAUAACAUCAGGUUACAAGCCUUUGUGGUACAGGAAGGACCGAAGGAGGAAGUUGGUGAGAUACAGAGGGAAGUUGAAUUGGGACGAGGGAUAGAGAUACAACCAGCAAAUGCGCCGAGGAACAGUAAGCUAACUCAGUAAGUAUUCUUCAGGUGCUAUUUUCUUCACCAGUUAACUCCUUCAAGUAUGCGUUCUUGUCAUCAGUACACACAGCCUCCUAUUGCAGGUCUCUAACACUUUCGCCCAAUGGUCCGAUGCAGACUUAUACUGACAUUAUCAAGAGAAAGAAUACGUUGAUGUAGCAUAUUUGCACUGUUCAUGUACAACUGAAAGUGACUAAACUCUAUUGUUUUUUGCCCUUGCCAACUUAAUACAGUAUAGUUCCGAUUCAUCUAAAUUGAGUCAGAGAUUAAACUGACGAUUUCUUCGCAAUUGCUGCAUCAAAUCAUCUAAAAGAAACUAAAAACUUUCUUAUCCUUCUUAUCCGACUAAUAAUAUCCAUUUUCAUUUUUUUAUUAUAUACUCAUAUUUGUUGUUGGUUGUAGUCUUCUUUUCUUAACUUUUUUACACUAGAGUACCAUGCCUUUUUUUGUCCAUUGGAAAGGCUUUGUACUACUUAAUGUUAUAGGCCAGGUGUUUGUGUUUUACCCCAACUGAUAUAUGUCAUAUAUAUAUAUACCAGGAAAUAAGUUUUUUUCCUUUGUAUUAUUCUUGUGUUAUGAAGGUAUAAGAAUGGAUGAAUGGCCACAAAGAUCAAAUAGUGAUAAUUAAUUGCCAAAAAAAGCUUCAGGACAACACUAGAUAUUGUCAUGUUUCAAAACCAUAAUAUGAUUUAUUCUUGCAUUCUCAAGGUUCAGACAAGAGGCGGGCUAAUUCAAAUAAAGAAAUAGAUCCCAUGAGAAAAAACAUCUAAAACAUUGUGUACAAAGAUGUGAAUAUGUACCAAGAUGUGGGAUGAAUACGUGUUUUUUUCUUACUUCAUACCAAUUAAGCCAUUUUAUUAUUUCAUCUUUUUAGUGGAUAUAUUUCUUAUCUC